GGGACAACCCGCCGAAAGGCGGGCUAAACCCGCGUACAUGCCACCGGGGCAUCCCGGAGGCAGGAAAGGCUUCGGCCGGACAGGGAUGGGCAUGCGGCGCAUUAGGCAGUAGGCGGGGUAACGGCCCACCUAACCGACGAUGCGUAGGGGUUCUGAGAGGAAGGUCCCCCACACUGGUACUGAGACACGGACCAGACUCCUACGGGAGGCAGCAGUGAGGAAUAUUGGUCAAUGGUCGGGAGACUGAACCAGCCAAGCCGCGUGAGGGAGGAAGGUACAGAGUAUCGUAAACCUCUUUUGUCAGGGAACAAAGACUGGGACGCGUCCCCGGAUGAGUGUACCUGAAGAAAAAGCAUCGGCUAACUCCGUGCCAGCAGCCGCGGUAAUACGGAGGAUGCGAGCGUUAUCCGGAUUUAUUGGGUUUAAAGGGUGCGCAGGCGGUCUGUUAAGUCAGCGGUCAAAGCCCGGGGCUCAACCCCGGCCCGCCGUUGAAACUGGCAGUCUCGAGUUGGAGAGAAGUAUGCGGAAUGCGCGGUGUAGCGGUGAAAUGCAUAGAUAUCGCGCAGAACUCCGAUUGCGAAGGCAGCAUGCCGGCUCCACACUGACACUGAGGCACGAAAGCGUGGGUAUCGAGCAGGAUUAGAUACCCUGGUAGUCCACGCAGUAAACGAUGAAUGAUGGCUGUCCG
rnacentral:rRNA from 1 species